rnacentral:lncRNA from 1 species
CUCACGCCUAUAAUCCCAGCACUCUGGGAGGCCGAGGCGGGCAGAUCACCUGAGGUCAGGAGUUUGAGACCAGCCUGGCCAACACAGUGAAACCCCAUCUCUGCUAAAAAUACAAAAAUUAGCGAGGCGUGGUGGUGCACGCCUGUAAUCCCAGCUGCUCCAGAGACUGAGGCAGGAGAAUCGCUUGAACCCAGGAGGCAGGGUUUGCAGUGAGUCGAGACUGUGCCACUGCACUCCAGCCUGGGUGACGGAGUCAAACUCCAUCUCAAAAAAAAAUACACAGGAUUGUGGCUCAUGCCUGUAAUACCGGCACUUUGGGAGGCCAAGGUGGUAGGAUGGCUUGAGCCCAGGAGUUCAGGACCAGCCUGGGCAACAUAGCAAGACCCCAACUGUACAAUAAAUAAAUAAAAUUUUUUAAAAUGAAACAAAGGCCGGCCAGCUGCAAUGGCUCACGCCUGUAAUCCCAGCACUUUGGGAGGCCGAGGCAGGCAGAUCACUUGAGGUCAGGAGUUCUAGACCAGCCUGGCCAACGUGGUGAAACCCCAUUUCUACUAAAAAUAUAAAAAUUAGCCAGCCGUGGUGGCAGGCACCAGUAAUCCGAGCUAUUUAGGAGGCUGAGGCAGGAGAAUCGCUUGAACCCAGGAGGCAGGGGUUACAGUGAGCCGAGAUUGCACCACUGCACUCCAGCCUGGACAACAAGAGUGAGACUCCAUCUCAAAAAAAAAAAAUUAAAAAUAAAAGAAUGCACAGUCCAGUAAUGUCACCCAGCCCUAUAUCAGUAAAGGUCACACUCUAGAGUGGUACAUAUCUCAGCUGCAUCUAAGGCCUUGCUAAUUAGCUCAUUAGAAUGUCACAAAUGGGUUUUUAUAUUACCCAUGUAUAGCUGCCAAAAAUGUUUAAGUGAAUCUAAUCAAAGUUGGAAAAAAAAAUAAGAAAAAUCCAGGUUGGAAGACAUUCAGCAAAACAAUUUCCCUGCACUACACUCUAAAAAAAGUCAAGCUAGGGAAUUGGUCCAGACAGAUAACACAACUGGGUUGGUCCAUUAAGUGACCCCUGAUGCAGCACUGCAUUGAAGGCAAAAAAGCUGUGAGAGAGAUUUGAGGGACAACUGGGGAACUUUGUAGUUAUAUAUGGACUAUAUAUUAGACAGUAUUAUUGUAUCAUCAUUAGAUUUUUCAGUGUGACAGUGGCUAUUUACAAGAAUGCCCUAGUUCUUAGGAUGUUAGUGCUGAAUCAUUAGACAAGAGACCUGAUGGCUACAACUGACAUAUAAAUGCCUCAGAGACUGAUGUAUUUUAUAUGGAGGUAAAGCAAAUGUAACAAACUGUUAAUAGUUGGUGGAUCUAAGUGAUGAGUCUAGGUGUGUUAUUGUGCAGUUUUUUCAACUUUUCUGGAAAACGAACUUUUCAAAAUAAAAAAUUGGAAAAAUAGAAUUCAAGUUAAUUUAUGAAUUUCUAGGAUACUAAGACCAUUGAUUCAACUUGCCAGGCAGCUCCUGCUGUCCUCCAACUUGCUAAUGAAAUGUUUUGAGAAACUUACCUAUAUAGCAAAUUUCUUUUAUUUUGCUUUUGUUAUAUUUUGGAGAAGGAGUCUUGCUAUUUCGCCCAGGCCUGGCUUGAACUGUCCAUCCUUCACCUUGGCUUCCUGAAUAGCUGGGGCUACAAGCAUGCACCACCAACCCUGGCAUAUAGUUAAUUUCUUUGCAGUUUCUCAACCAUACUCAACUUCUAGAGAUUGGAUCAAAGGUUCUACAUAUAUUUUUCCUCCUAUAGCAAGCUUAUUAAAUACAAAUUGGCAUGUUAAAAACCUUGGCCGGCUGGGCGCGGUGGCUCAUGCCUAUAAUCCCAACACUUUGAGAGGCAGAGGUGGGCAGAUCACCUGAGGUCAGGAGUUCGAGACCAGCCUGACCAACACGGUGAAACCCCUUCUCUACUAAAAAUACAAAAAAAUUAGCCGGGCUUGGUGGCAGGCGCCUGUAAUCCCAGCUACUCGGGAGGCUGAGACAGAAGAAUCGCUUGAACCUGGGAGGCAGAGGUUGCAGUGAGCCGAGAUCGCGCCGUUGCACUCCAGCCUGGGCAAUAAGAGCGAAACUCCGUCUCAAAAAUAAAUAAAUAAAUAAAAGCCUUGGCCUAUACUAGAUGUAUAUGUCUUUUAACUCUGGGUUCCUGGGCUCCUACUUGGGAGGAUUUCUGCCCCAAGGAUGAAUAUGCUUGUGAUUUGGAGUGGAAGAAGGAAGAGAUACCAAAGGCAU